GAUGAACGCUAGCUACAGGCUUAACACAUGCAAGUCGAGGGACCGGCGUACGGGUGAGUAACGCGUAUCCAACCUACCCAUUACUGAGGGAUAACCUCCCGAAAGGCAGACUAAUACCGCAUAGUAAUGGAUGGGGAUGCGUCUGAUUAGCUUGUUGGCGGGGUAACAGCCAACCAAGGCAACGGUCAGUAGGGGUUUGGAGAGGAAGGUCCACGAGAUUGGAGCUGAGCCCCAGACCAAAACCCUACGGGAUGCAGGAGAUAGGAAGAAUGGGUGAUGGGCGCGAGCCUGACCCAGCCGAGUAGCGGGAAGGAGGAUGGCCUAGGGGUUGUAUACUGCUUUUGUAGGGGGAUAGGUACCAGACGAAUAAGGACCGGCUAAUUCCGUGCCAGCCGCCGCGGUAAUAC
rnacentral:rRNA from 1 species